rnacentral:rRNA from 1 species
GACGAACCGAGCGAACGUUGUUCGGAAUCACUGGGCUUAAAGGGCGCGUAGGCGGGCUGUCAAGUCUGGGGUGAAAUCCCGCGGCUCAACCGUGGAACUGCCUCAGAUACUGACGGCCUCGAGGGGGGUAGGGGCGAGCGGAACUAAUGGUGGAGCGGUGAAAUGCGUUGAUAUCAUUAGGAACUCCGGUGGCGAAGGCGGCUCGCUGGACCUUUUCUGACGCUGAGGCGCGAAAGCUAGGGGAGCAAACGGG